GGUCGAUCUACUGUGCAACUCCCUCCACCCCCAUCACUGUUCCCUGUUUGAAACCCACCAACUGGAUUUUAAGCUGCAUGAAAAGUAAAUACAACCGGUGAAACAAUGUGUGCUGUGAGUUUCUUUUUCAAGGGUUCAUAAGUUGCCGCUCAGUCUGAGAUGGUUGCAGAAGAGA